AUGGCUCAGCAGUAGAGCACCUGCCUAGUAAGCACAAGGCUUUGAGUUCAAACCUCAGU
rnacentral:tRNA from 1 species